UAAAUCCUAAAGUAAAGGCGAGCGAUCGAAGUAGAAGUACCAACGGCUCAGUGUCAUGAACCUUCUCCAUCUGAUUCAAUAGGGGGGAAUUAGCCUUCUUGUCAAAUGGCUAUCCUUGACAAAGGGUACCAUUUAUACCAUAAUCUACAAUGUAGCGGGUAUAGUUUAGUGGUAAAAGUGUGAUUCGUUCUAUUAAUAACUGAAUUUGAAAUGAUAUACUUAAGGCAUCCUUAAGUUUUUUAUUUUUAUAUUCCGAUGAAAACUUUAGUUCUUAUAAAGGAUUAAAUCCUUUUCCUCUCAAUAGCAUAUUGAGGAAGAAUAUACAUUCUGGCGAUUUGUAUCCAAAGACUAAUUUAAAUUGCAUCCAAAAUAAAAAUAGGAUUAUGAGUACAGAGUCGCGAAGCAUAAUUUUGCAUUGGAUUAAGUAUUCCUAUUUUGAAAAUAUGAGUAAAGGAUCUAUGGAUGAAGAUACAAAAAAGUUGAUUUCCAAUCGUAACUAAAUCUUCUUAAAAUUAGGAAUAAGGAAGCCAAAUAGCUAAAAAAACGAUAGUUUUGGUUUACUAGAACCAUCCGCAUAUUGUUUCAGCUCGGUGGAAACCCAAUUCUUUUCCUCAGGAUCUCUUGAAUGAAAUUAGGGAACGAAGUAAGUAGAUUAGAUGGAUUUAGAUAGAAUUUCUAUCUCCUACUCUAUAAGGAUCAUCUAGAAAGCGGAGAGCUUUGGUUCCAUUCAAAUAGAAAAGCUGACAUAGAUGUUAAGUGGUGAGAAUAUCCAUAAAGGAGCCGAAUGAAAUCAAAAUUUCAUCUUCGGUUUUGAAUUAGAGACAUUAAAAAUAAUCAACCAACGUCGACUAUAACCCCUAGCCUUCCAA
rnacentral:ncRNA from 1 species